UACGUAGGGGGCGAGCGUUGUCCGGAUUUACUGGGCGUAAAGCGCGUGUAGGCGGCGCCUUAAGUCAGGUGUGAAAGCCCGGGGCUCAACCCCGGAGUGCCGCCUGAAACUGGGGUGCUUGAGGACGGAAGAGGGGAGUGGAAUUCCUGGUGUAGCGGUGAAAUGCGUAGAGAUCAGGAGGAACACCCGUGGCGAAGGCGGCUCCCUGGUCCGUUUCUGACGCUGAGACGCGAAAGCGCGGGGAGCGAACGGG
rnacentral:rRNA from 2 species